UACAGAGGUCUCAAGCGUUGUUCGGAUUCAUUGGGCGUAAAGGGUGCGUAGGCGGCGGGGUAAGUCAGGUGUGAAAUCUCGAGGCUCAACCUCGAAACUGCACUUGAUACUGCCUUGCUCGAGUACUGGAGAGGAGAUUGGAAUUUACGGUGUAGCAGUGAAAUGCGUAGAUAUCGUAAGGAAGACCAGUGGCGAAGGCGAAUCUCUGGGACGGUACUGACGCUGAGACGCGAAAGCGUGGGGAGCGAACAGG
rnacentral:rRNA from 1 species